UGCCAGCCGCCGCGGUAAUACGAAGGGGGCUAGCGUUGCUCGGAAUUACUGGGCGUAUAGCGCGCGCAGGUGGCCUGUUAAGUUGGGGGUGAAAGCCCGGAGCUCAACUCCGGAACGGCCUUCAAAACUGGCAAGCUAGAGUCCGGAAGAGGAGAGUGGAAUUCCCAGUGUAGAGGUGAAAUUCGUAGAUAUCAGGAGGAACACCGAUGGCGAAGGCAUCUCUCUGGGCCGAUAUUGACGCUGAGGCGCGAAGGCGUGGGUAGCGAACGGGAUUAGAUA
rnacentral:rRNA from 1 species